AAUUGGACAAUGGGUUAGCGCCUGAUCCAGCCAUCCCGCGUGAAGGACGACGGCCCUAUGGGUUGUAAACUUCUUUUGUACAGGGAUAAACCUUUCCACGUGUAAGAAGCUGAAGGUACUGUACGAAUAAGCACCG
rnacentral:rRNA from 1 species